GUCCACGCCCUAAACGAUGCAUAUUUGGUGUAGGUCAUUCAGUUGAUCUGUGCCGGAGCUAACGCGUUAAAUAUGCCGCCUGGGGAGUACAGUCGCAAGGCUGAAACUCAAAGGAAUUGACGGGGGCCCGCACAAGCGGUGGAGCAUGUGGUUCAAUUCGACGCAACGCGAAGAACCUUACCUGGGCUCGAACGGCUCACGAACGAGGGUGGAAACACCCUUUUCCCGCAAGGGACGGGAGUCGAGGUGCUGCAUGGCUGUCGU
rnacentral:rRNA from 1 species